GCUGAUGUAGCUCAGUUGGUAGAGCGGAUGCUUCGUAAGCAUUAGGUCAAGAGUUCAAGCCUCUUCAUCAGCUCCA
rnacentral:tRNA from 1 species